GGAUCCCGCGGUCAGGCCGGGGUGCGCAGUCCCUCCAGCAGCCGGUCGAGGGCCUGCUCCGCGGCCCGGGGGUCGCCGCCCCGCGCGAUCCAC
rnacentral:tRNA from 1 species